rnacentral:rRNA from 1 species
GAACGCUAGCUACAGGCUUAACACAUGCAAGUCGAGGGGAAACGAUAUUGGAAGCUUGCUUCUGAUAGGCGUCGACCGGCGCACGGGUGAGUAACGCGUAUCCAACCUGCCCAUCACUUGGGGAUAACCUUGCGAAAGUAAGACUAAUACCCAAUGACGUCUCUAGAAGACAUCUGAAAGAGAUUAAAGAUUUAUCGGUGAUGGAUGGGGAUGCGUCUGAUUAGCUUGUUGGCGGGGUAACGGCCCACCAAGGCGACGAUCAGUAGGGGGUUCUGAGAGGAAGGUCCCCCACAUUGGAACUGAGACACGGUCCAAACUCCUACGGGAGGCAGCAGUGAGGAAUAUUGGUCAAUGGACGAGAGUCUGAACCAGCCAAGUAGCGUGCAGGAUGACGGCCCUAUGGGUUGUAAACUGCUUUUAUAAGGGAAUAAAGUGGGAGUCGUGACUCUUUUUGCAUGUACCUUAUGAAUAAGGACCGGCUAAUUCCGUG